rnacentral:rRNA from 1 species
GCUGGUGACUGGAGCGGAGGGGAUACACGCGAUUCCAUCCCGAACUCGAAUGUUAAGACCUCUAGCGCCGAUGGUACUGCGUCUUAAGGCGUGGGAGAGUAGGUCGUUGCCAGCC